UUGACCUCAAAUCAGGUAGGAAUACCCGCUGAACU
rnacentral:rRNA from 1 species